CUUGAUCGACCCCAACAGCAACGGCCGGUCCCCCGGCCGAUCCUGCCCGUACGUGGCCAGCAGCGCCUGCGCCUC
rnacentral:antisense_RNA from 1 species